CCUACGGGGGGCAGCAGUGAGGAAUAUUGGUCAAUGGGCGAGAGCCUGAACCAGCCAAGUCGCGUGAAGGAUGAAGGAUCUAUGGUUUGUAAACUUCUUUUAUAUGGGAAUAAAGUGAGGAACGUGUUCCUUUUUGUAUGUACCAUAUGAAUAAGCAUCGGCUAACUCCGUGCCAGCAGCCGCGGUAAUACGGAGGAUGCGAGCGUUAUCCGGAUUUAUUGGGUUUAAAGGGUGCGUAGGUGGUUAAUUAAGUUAGCGGUGAAAGUUUGUGGCUCAACCAUGGAAUUGCCGUUGAUACUGGUUGACUUGAGUAUAUUUGAGGUAGGCGGAAUGCGUGGUGUAGCGGUGAAAUGCAUAGAUAUCACGCAGAACACCGAUUGCGAAGGCAGCUUACUAAACUAUAACUGACGCUGAGGCACGAAAGCGUGGGGAGCAAACAGGAUUAGAUACCCGAGUAGUC
rnacentral:rRNA from 1 species